CUAUUUUGUAGAAAAGAUAGUACUGAAUGGAAGAACACUGAAUUCCCCAUAGCUUCUUUAAAACUACCUGUGGGAAACAGCUGUUCAAGAUUAAGACUUAACUAUUCAAGCCUGACUCUAUCCAGUCAUGUUACAAACUGCUUGCUGACAUAGUCCACAAAAGGAAAGCACUUUUGAACAUCAGAAGAAAAUCAGUUAAGAAGCCAAGCUCUGGUGGCUCAUACCUAUAAUCCUGGUUGCUAAAGAGUUGAGUUCCAAAAGAAUACAGUUUGAAGCCAGCUCAACACAGAAAAGUCCAAGAGAUUCCAUCUCCAAAGAAAUCAACAAAAGCCAAGCCAGGAGCAUGGAUGAAGUGAAUACUUGAAGUACUUUAGAAGAAUGACCCCGAUACAAGCAGGAAGUAUCCACCUAACACCUGAGGAGGACAAAAUCAAAGUUGAAAGAGGGGAAAAGCACCCCUCCUCAAAAACAAAACAACAACAAAAAAAAAACCCUUUACUUUCAGUGUCUGUCCAUUUUUCAUUGCAGACUAUAGAAAAUUUCUUCAUGCACUAGUUACUGGAAACUGAUGAUCUAUCUACACUGAUCCAUUUAUUCCCCCAACCCAAGCCCUCAAAGGGGUUAGAAUCUUGUCACUCCCAGACCAUCUUAGGAAUUAGGGCAAAAGGUUUUUAUUUGUCUUAUUCAAGUCUGUAUUCUUGAAAAUGAACAUUCUAGUCACCAUAAGCAUUAAUACUAUUGUACCUAAGAAACACAUGGCUUAAGAUGCAUGUAAGCAGAAACCAGUCUGAAGAUGUCACUCAACAAAAACAUUUCCAGAAGCUUAACACUUAAUUGGCCUUAUUAGCACCAUCUGCUCAUCAGUCUUGCUUGUGGAAAAGUGUUUUCAUCAGAUAUCAACAAGUUGAAAACAAGGCAGAUCACCACACUUUCUUUUGAAUUUGACACCACAUUUUGCCUGCCUCUUAUCACAGUUUUAAAUCCUCACAUUAAAUAAGUGAGCUGAAUUCCAGCACUUACAUUACACAUAAGAUUCUAUUUUCCUCACUGAUCUUUGGGUAUGUAUGAACAUUCACAAAUUAUUUUCUCCCCACACCUGCUUCCUUCAGAUUGUUUAGCUCAUAUACAUCUACUCAUUUUCCCUAUUUCUCAACAAAUCUGAUUAUGUUACAACAUGAAACACAGAGUUAUUCAUAGUAACAUACAGAAAUUAUAGUCAUAUGCUGGGAGUUAAACUAAAAUUAUUCCUACCAUUGAUAAUAAACUUCAAAAACUUACAUAUUGCUUUAUAUAUUCCACUUUGUAUUUUCCAGGAAUUAAUAUUUAAUAAGUUUAGCACCCUAUCUGAAAAUCCAUCUUUUGCAUUAUCUCCAUUGUAGUUUCAUGGUUUUGU